UAGGGAAUCUUCCACAAUGGGCGAAAGCCUGACGGAGCAACGCCGCGUGAGUGAUGAAGGUCUUCGGAUCGUAAAACUCUGUUAUUAGGGAAGAACAAAUGCGUAAGUAACUAUGCACGUCUUGACGGUACCUAAUCAGAAAGCCACGGCUAACUACGUGCCAGCAGCCGCGGUAAUACGUAGGUGGCAAGCGUUAUCCGGAAUUAUUGGGCGUAAAGCGCGCGUAGGCGGUUUUUUAAGUCUGAUGUGAAAGCCCACGGCUCAACCGUGGAGGGUCAUUGGAAACUGGAAAACUUGAGUGCAGAAGAGGAAAGUGGAAUUCCAUGUGUAGCGGUGAAAUGCGCAGAGAUAUGGAGGAACACCAGUGGCGAAGGCGACUUUCUGGUCUGUAACUGACGCUGAUGUGCGAAAGCGUGGGGAUCAAACAGG
rnacentral:rRNA from 1 species